UCUUUGCCAAAUUUGUGGUCCCUAUCACUCUUCCAUGAGAUGCCCUUCUUAUUCACCUGCAACUGCUGGUUGUUGUGGGAGAAACUGUAGGUAUCAUUAAACAAACUCCAAGCUAUAAGACCACAUGGUACAAUUGCCGUCCCAUUGAUAACGUCUUCAGGCUCACAACUGCUGGUUUCAUUCUCACCACUUCGACUCCUCAAUUGUUCGUCACUCCGGCUCUUCACGUACCUGCGAUGAUUCUGGUAAAAGUUGUC
rnacentral:misc_RNA from 1 species